rnacentral:miRNA from 1 species
UCUGUUCUUUCCUCUCCUGCCU